rnacentral:rRNA from 1 species
GAUGAACGCUGGCGGCGUGCUUAACACAUGCAAGUCGAGCGAAGCACUUAUGAAAGAUUCUUCGGAUGAUUUCAUAUGUGACUGAGCGGCGGACGGGUGAGUAACGCGUGGGUAACCUGCCUCAUACAGGGGGAUAACAGUUGGAAACGACUGCUAAUACCGCAUAAGCGCACAGUACCGCAUGGUACCGUGUGAAAAACUCCGGUGGUAUGAGAUGGACCCGCGACUGAUUAGCUAGUUGGUGGGGUAACGGCCUACCAAGGCGACGAUCGGUAGCCGGCCUGAGAGGGUGACCGGCCACAUUGGGACUGAGACACGGCCCAAACUCCUACGGGAGGCAGCAGUGGGGAAUAUUGCAAAAUGGGGGAAACCCUGAUGCAGCAACGCCGCGUGAGUGAAGAAGUAUUUCGGUAUGUAAAGCUCUAUCAGCAGGGAAGAAAAUGACGGUACCUGACUAAGAAGCCCCGGCUAACUACGUGCCAGCCGCCGCGGUAA